GAUGAACGCUGGCGGCGUGCCUAAUACAUGCAAGUCGAGCGAAUGGAUUAAGAGCUUGCUCUUAUGAAGUUAGCGGCGGACGGGUGAGUAACACGUGGGUAACCUGCCCAUAAGACUGGGAUAACUCCGGGAAACCGGGGCUAAUACCGGAUAACAUUUCGAACCGCAUGGUUCGAAAUUGAAAGGCGGCUUCGGCUGUCACUUCUGGAUGGACCCGCGUCGCAUUAGCUAGUUGGUGAGGUAACGGCCUACCAAGGCAACGAUGCGUAGCCGACCUGAGAGGGUGAUCGGCCACACUGGGACUGAGACACGGCCCAGACUCCUACGGGAGACAGCAGUUAGGAAUAUUCGUCAAUGGGGGAAACCCUGAACGAGCAAUGCCGCGUGAGUGAUGAAGGCCCCAUGGGUCGUAAAACUCUGUUGUUUGGGAAGAACGACCGAAGUAGGAAAUGACUUCGGGGUGACUGUACCAUUCGAGAAAGCCCCGGCUAACUACGUGCCAGCCGCCGCGGUAA
rnacentral:rRNA from 1 species